CCAAACGUUAUUCGGAAUUACUGGGCUUAAAGAGUUCGUAGGCGGCGCAGAAAGUGGGGCGUGAAAGCCCUCGGCUCAACCGAGGAAUUGCGCUCCAAACUACUGUGCUUGAGGAAGCUAGAGGUGAGCAGAACUGAUGGUGGAGCGGUGAAAUGCGUUGAUAUCAUCAGGAAUACCGGAGGCGAAGGCGGCUCACUGGGGCUUUUCUGACGCUGAGGAACGAAAGCCAGGGUAGCGAACGGG
rnacentral:rRNA from 1 species